UACGGGGGGGGCAAGCGUUGUUCGGAAUUACUGGGCGUAAAGGGCUCGUAGGCGGCCAACUAAGUCAUACGUGAAAUCCCUCGGCUUAACCGGGGAACUGCGUCUGAUACUGGAUGGCUUGAGAUUGGGAGAGGGAUGUGGAAUUCCAGGUGUAGCGGUGAAAUGCGUAGAUAUCUGGAGGAACACCGGUGGCGAAGGCGGCAUCCUGGACCAACACUGACGCUGAGGAGCGAAAGCCAGGGGAGCAAACGGG
rnacentral:rRNA from 1 species